AUUCCCAACUGCCUCACAAGGACAUUCAUGUCAAUGGGGAUUCAUUCUGGCUUGCUGAUGAACCCACUAGGCAAGAAGCCUCAACAUAAGUGACAGGUAGGUCUUAGUGUUGCUCUUGACCAAUGACACGGUUCUGGCUGCCCAGG
rnacentral:lncRNA from 1 species